rnacentral:rRNA from 1 species
UUUAACGGCCGCGGUAUUUUGACCGUGCGAAGGUAGCGCAAUCACUUGUCUUUUAAAUGAAGACCUGUAUGAAUGGCACGACGAGGGCUUAACUGUCUCCUUCCUCCAGUCAAUGAAAUUGAUCUCCCCGUGCAGAAGCGGAGAUUUUUACAUAAGACGAGAAGACCCUAUGGAGCUUUAGACUAAAGACAGACUAUGUUAAAUACUCAAGAACAAAAGACCGAACAGUAUACACCUGCCCUAAUGUCUUUGGUUGGGGCGACCCUGGGGAACAACAAAACCCCCAUGAAGACAGGGAGAACGACCUACAGACAAGAGCCACACCUCUAACUCACAGAACUUCUGACUUACAGAUCCGGCCUGCCGAUCAACGGACCGAGUUACCCUAGGGAUAACAGCGCAAUCCUCUUUUAGAGCUCAUAUCGACAAGAGGGUUUACGACCUCGAUGUUGGAUCAGGACAUCCUAAUGGUGCAGCAGCUAUUAAGGGUUCGUUUGUUCAACGAUUAAAGUCCU